UUGUAUGACCCAAUCUCUAGACACAC
rnacentral:piRNA from 1 species